rnacentral:rRNA from 1 species
GCGGCGAACGGGUGAGUAACACGUGGGUAAUCAACCCUCGGCUAUGGGAUAUUCCGGGGAAACCCGGAUUAAUACCGGAUGGGCCUUUGGAUCCUGGGAUCUGAAGGAAAAGGUAGCUUCGGCCUCCGACCGAGGACGAGCCCGCGGCGGAUUAGCUUGUUGGUGGGGUAACGGACUACCAAGGCGGCGAUCCGUAGCUGGUCUGAGAGGACGAUGGGCCACACUGGUGACUGAGACACGGCCCAGACUCCUACGGGAGGCAGCAGUGGGGAAUCUUGCGCUAAUGCGGGAAACCGUGACGCAGCGACGCCGCGUGAGGGAAGA